AUUGAACGCUGGCGGCAUGCUUUACACAUGCAAGUCGAACGGUAACAGCACUUUGGUGGCUGACGCGUGGCGAACGGGUGAGUAAUACAUCGGAACGUGCCUAGCAGCGGGGGGUAAUUACUCGAAAGAGUAGCUAAUACCGCAUGAGAUCUAAGGAUGAUAGCAGGGGAGCUUCGGGCCUUGCGCUACUUGGGCGGCUGAUGGGAGAUUAGGUGGUUGGGGGGGUAAAAGCUGAUCAAGCCGACGAUCUGUAGCUGGUCUGUGAGGAGGACCAGCCCCACGGGGGCGGAGAGACGCCCCGGGCUCCUACGGGGGGCAGCAGUGGGGAAUGUGGGACAAUGGGGGCAAGCCUGAUCAAGCAAGGCCGCGUGCAGGAGGAAGGCCUUCGGGUGGAAAACUGCCUUUGUACGGAACAAAAAGCCCUCUUCUAAUACAGGAGGGUCUGGCGGGAACCGUAAAAAUAGGCACGGCCUACUUAGUG
rnacentral:rRNA from 1 species